AGGGUUUGAUCCUGGCUCAGAACGAACGCUGGCGGCGUGGCUAAGACAUGCAAGUCGAACGGUUCAUUAAUUUAUUAGUGAAUAGUGGCGAAAGGGUUAGUAAUGGAUAGGUAACGUACCUCUUGCUUCAGGAUAGCGUCUGAAAACUUCGGUUUUCUUCCGAAAGGGGCGAUAAUACUGAAUGAUAUCAUCUGUCGAUAGGCGGGUGAUCAAAGAUUUAUCGGCGAGAGAGCGGCCUAUCUCCUAUCAGCUUGUUGGUGAGGUAAUGGCUCACCAAGGCUUUGACGGGUAGCGGGACUGAGAGGUUGGCCCGCAACAUCGGGACUGAGACACUGCCCGGACCUCCACGGAGGGCUGCAGUAACGAAUAUUGCGCAAUGGGCGAAAGCCUGACGCAGCGACGCCGCGUGUAGGAGGAAGUCCUUCGGGAUGUAAACUACUGUCAGGGGUAAGAAAGCGUACUUCGGUACGUUGAUCCACCCCAGAGGAAGUCACGGCUAACUACGUGCCAGCAGCCGCGGUAAUACGUAGGUGGCUAGCGUUGUUCGGUGUCACUGGGCUUAAAGCGUGUGUAGGCGGAAAUGUAAGCGUCUUGUGAAAGCCCCCGGCUUAACCGGGGAAUUGCUGGACGAACUACAUUUCUUGAGGCAAGUAGGGGUGCAUGGAACUCUUGGUGGAGCGGUGGAAUGCGUAGAUAUCAAGAGGAACGCCAAUGGAGAAAUCAGUGCACUGGGCUUGUCCUGACGCUCAGACACGAAAGCGUGGGGAGCGAACGGGAUUAGAUACCCCGGUAGUCCACGCCGUAAACGAUGUCUACUAGGUUGCGGGAGUUCUGACACUGUCGCGACCGAAGCAAAAGUGUUAAGUAGACCGCCUGGGGAGUACGGUCGCAAGGCUAAAACUCAAAGGAAUUGACGGGGGCUCACACAAGCGGUGGAGCAUGUGGAUUAAUUCGAAACAACGCGCAGAACCUUACCUGGGUUUGACAUGUUUGGAUGCAAUUCUGGAAACAGAGGAUGCUGCCUUUCGAGGUGAAACUUACACAGGUGCUGCAUGGCUGUCGUCAGCUCGUGUCGUGAGAUGUCGGGUUAAGUCCUUUAACGAGCGAAACCCUUACCGUUAGUUGCCAGCGCGUUAUGGCGGGGACUCUAGCGGGACUGCCGGUGUUAAACCGGAGGAAGGCGGGGAUGACGUCAAGUCCUCAUGGCCUUUAUGCCCAGGGCUUCACACGUGCUACAAUGGUAGUGACAGAGCGACGCAAGACCGCGAGGUGGAGCAAAUCGCAAAAACACUGCCUCAGUUCGGAUUGCAGGCUGGCAACUCGCCUGCAUGAAGUUGGAAUCGCUAGUAAUCGCGUAUCAGCUAUGACGCGGUGAAUGUGUUCCUGAGCCUUGUACACACCGCCCGUCAAGUCACGGAAGUUGGGAGUACCCGAAGUCGGAUUACAAACCUUUUAGGAUGUGUCUGCCUACGGUAAGCCCGAUGACUGGGACUAAGUCGUAACAAGGUA
rnacentral:rRNA from 1 species